rnacentral:rRNA from 1 species
CUCGUAGGCGGUUCGUCGCGUCCGGUGUGAAAGUCCAUCGCUUAACGGUGGAUCCGCGUCGGGUACGGGCGGGCUUGAGUGCGGUAGGGGAGACUGGAAUUCCCGGUGUAACGGUGGAAUGUGUAGAUAUCGGGAAGAACACCAAUGGCGAAGGCAGGUCUCUGGGCCGUCACUGACGCUGAGGAGCGAAAGCGUGGGGAGCGAACA